rnacentral:antisense_RNA from 1 species
UUUAGCAUUUGGCUUACGCGCCAUAAUACCAUUGCCCACCGCAUGCAGCAGAUGGGUUUUUCCCAACCCCGUGCCCCCAUA